AAAAAAAGCCAUUAUCAUUUUUUUCCCUUCAUCUUCAUCACGAAACAAAACAAAAGAAAACAAAGAAACAAAGCUAGGGUAUUCGGCCAUUGUUGAGCUUGAUUCAAGAUCAUGAACCAAAGAAAUUGGAGUUAGAUCGGGGGAAAGCUAAAAUCGUCAAAUAAUCGUCCGGUUUCGAUUUUUCACCGUCCGAGAUAAAAAAAAAUCAAAUCAAGCUUCAAGCUCAGGGAUCGUCAGCGAGUUUAUCAUCUUAUCUAUUGUCUCGGUAUUUAAAAUAUUUAAAUUCUAACUAUGGCAUGUACAGACUAGAUAAAUGUUUUGAAGGUCGUACUUUGUUGUAUUGUAUAUGAAUAUAAUAGCCAUACUAAAAUGGUUUAUUUCCUUAUAGAUUUGCUAGUUUGUAAUAUCUUUACUAGUUGGAUUAUAAUGUCUUUGUUUAUUAAAAAUGGUUAGAAGAGAAGUUUAACA